AUAUACAUAUAUUCCUAUAUCGAAUCUAAAAGAUGUAUUUGUUAAGUGAGAGCGCUCGUUCGAUGAUUGCACAAUUUAUUAAAUUUCCCGAAUGCAACCAUUAUGCACGCGCGCGGUGACAUAUACGCCACGCAGCACGCAGUGCGCGUAAAAUUCUAUGUCGUCAUCGCAUUAUCGCAACCGUCCGACAAUUCACAUUAUCGAGCGGAUAAAGAAGGAGAUAUUAACGGAAAAGGGAAAAUUUCGUGGUUCAUUGCUUGAUCCCGUCGAAAAAUUUAUUCCGAUCGAAGAUAUAGUACAUAUUAUUGUGGUGAUCAGUGUGUGCGUGUGUAUAUGUGACAAGCGUGGAUUCACGUAUUUGCUGAGUGCUUUUAAUUGACGAACAUGCAUCGAUGCUCCGAUGGUCAUCUUUGCCAUCUCCAUCGAUGGCAUAUGUACGAAAUGUCAAUAUUUGGAGGUAUUGAAGUGUCUCCUUAUCUAAAUACGAUGUGUUGUAUGAUAAGAUCUGUGGUAUAAGCAGGAGGAACUUUGCAAUGAUUCACUUUAAGAAAUAUAAUUGGAAUUAUGUAGAGUGAUGCCAAGAGAUAAUAUUACACAGCUUACUUAGUCGUAAAGUGUAUUAUAAAAAAAACAGCAAUGGGUUCCAUUGCUCUAGAGGAGUACGAGUUAAUGAAGGACUCGAAGUAUCGAGUCUAUGUGAAUGCUGUUGAUAAGGCUCUAAAAAGCUUUGAAUAUACGAGCGAAUGGGCAGAUCUAAUUUCUGCAUUAGGAAAGCUUAACAAAGUGCUGCUAAGUCAUAUGAAGUUUCCUGUUAUUCCAAGGAGAAUUAAAAUAUCAAAAAGAUUAGCCCAAUGCAUGCAUCCAGCAUUACCAUCUGGUGUUCAUUUGAAAGCUUUAGAAACGUAUGACAUUAUUUUUAAGUGUAUGGGCACUAAUAGACUCAGCCAUGAGCUAUUUAUCUAUAGCGCAGGACUGUUUCCAUUAUUGGGUCAUGCUGCUAUGAAUGUCAGACCGUCAUUAUUAACAGUAUAUGAGACACACUUUGUGCCACUUGGCGAAAGGUUGAGACCAGGAUUAAGCGGUUUUUUAAGCGGUGUCCUUUUAGGUUUAGAAGAUGGAUCUGAUCAUUUUGACAGAACAAAUUCCUUACUGGAGAAAGUAUGCGAUGGCGUGGGUGCAGAACACUUUUAUGCGUGUCUCUGGGAUUGUUUAGCUUCAAAUUCUGGCAUUCGCUUGCCCGCUAUAUCAUUUGUGCUCGCACACUUCAAUAAAAAACUGACAAUGGAGGAGCAAAAAUACAUUAUGGGUACUAAUAUUAAAAUUAUGGUAUCAGCUUUAUGCGCAGGAGUACAAGACACUUCAGUGCUAGUACAAAGAAGUGCACUGGAUUUUCUAUUAAUAGGUUUUCCUAUACAUAACAGUCAAUUGACACAUCAAGAUAUGAUAUUAUUAAUCAAAGCUGCUCUAGUUACUAUAUUGCGAAGAGACAUGAGCUUAAAUAGACGUUUGUUUGCUUGGUUAUUGGGCACUGAAGUAAGUACAUCAAUUUUAAAGAAGAAUCACAUAACUGUGAACACUAAGGAGCAUUCUGUAACAUAUUUUGAUAUAUAUUCGAAAAAAAUGCUAGUCGAAGCAAUAAAAUAUCUGCUUAAAGAAGUGUGUGAAGAAAAUUCACAGGAUUUAAAGCCAUAUAGAAUACUUAUCUCAUUACUUGAUAAGGUGGAUAUUGGACCAGUAAUUUUGGACGAUAUUCUAUUUGAAGUGUUUAGGACAUUUUAUAAUGCCUGUAAACAAUCUGCACUGAAUCAUAUACCAAAAACAAAUGAAGUAGUGAAAUCUGCGAAUCUGUUAUUUUCAACUUUGGAACCAUCCUACAUCUGGAUACAUUGUGGACAUCUAUUUGAGAAGGCCUGUAAUAAAAGAGCAAAAACACAAGUUACCAUAGAAGAUGUUAUGCCGAAUUUAGUGGAAGUAUGCAUACUAACAGAAUUCUUACUCGAAACAGUAUCAUUGGACGCAUUUAUAGACACUCCAUCUGAGCAUCUUCCUGGUUUGUUUUAUGAAAUAAUUAGCAAGCUUUUAUAUCAUAUCAAUAUUUUGUCUUCGAUGGAGAUCUCGAAAAGUCUCAAAUUGUGCGCCAAGAUUUUGUCGAAGGUACAACCGACAAUGGUAACGACUCACGCGGACAAGUAUGAAAUAGAUACCAAAGUAGACGCUUCUUUGAAUAACAUUACAGUUCCUAGCGAUAAUUCCCUAACGGCGAUUCCUUUGGAAAAAAGUCAGUCGGAUAGUAAGUUGAAUAAGGCCGAUAUAUCCGGUACCUCUUUCGCGGAGAAAAGUCCGAGUACGAGAAGAAGAGCUAAUUCCGGCGGCGCCGCUAAGAGGAGCGAGAAAAAAUCAAAGAAGAAGGGGAGUAAAAGCACUUCCAAGUUAACCGACACGUACACCAUACAAGCCGAUGGUACCAACAUAUCGGUCGUAGUGAACGAGGACGCCAAAUCUUUACCUAGGAAUAAAAGCAUGGACGAUAUUAAAGCGAGCUGCGUCGAAACCGAUGCAAUAAGCUCUUCCUCGAAUAAUAAACUGUCCACCACGUCAAAAUACAUGACGAAUGUCAGUCCAAUGGGAUCGACGGGAUCCUUAUGUAGGGGACCAUCUCCGGCAUUUCAGGCACAGCACUCCAUGUUAGAAAAGUGCCUUCGUCAAUAUGAAAUAUUUUACGUCAAAUUAAUUAGCAACCGAAUACUUAGCAAGGAAAGAACAGUGCAAGAUAUGUUCAAUCAUUUGGUGGUGUCUUGCCCAAGAAAGAGUUUCGACGAGAGAAUGCGUUGUUUGGAACUUCUGCUGAAUUCCAGAUUAAAUAUGGAGGACUCUGGAUUCUUUAGUCAAGAUGUAUCCGUAACAGAGGAUACCAAGUGCCUGGAUAUUUUUCACCUAUUUCUCGAUAUCGUAGCGCAUUCGGAAUGGAACGAGGCCAUGAAAAUAGCGUCCAGCUUGUUUGUGGAAUUAUCCACAUUUCCAAAAUAUUUCUUGACCGGCGACGAUGUACUCGUGGAAGAAGAACCCAAAUUUGAGCACGUUCUUCCGGAUUGGUUAAAAGUUUUAAUAGUCUGUUCCUGCUGGUUACAGAAGCAACCGGCGUUACAAUUAACGAGCAUCGCUACAUUAUUGGACUUAGUGGCAUUAUUGAAAGCACAUAACGACGUCGAGAUACAUCCGAAAAGCGGAGAAGGCGUAACGACGGUGAUUAUGGUGCCGUUGUUGAAACAAUGGCACAUUACCUACUUGAUGCAAUACACUAAUGUAUUUCAGGUAUUGGCACAUUCCUUGUGGCAUCAUUUGGGCGAGCUUCCCGCUCAUAAGUUUAGGAUGCGUUGCGUAGAACUGUUGCACGAAUUGCAUCACGCUUUAUACAAUUCCUGCGACGCAGUCGAGGAUUUAAUAGGAUCUGCUCUCACCUCCGAGAAUCCUGAAAGAAAGAUCGAAGCAUUCAGUAGAUUUGCUACUUUGUGGCAUUUAGGACGAGAAAUCGAGACGAAUCCAAGGUUACGCGGCUGUCUCAGAAUUUUUGACCAAUCUUUAUUAAAAAUGUUGGACAAUCUUCAACUUGCGGACAACUCGCCGUUAAAACUAUUAGCUCAAUCGUGGCUACUACAUUCCUUGAUGCGCGGCGAUAUAUCGCGUGUAAUAGAUCCCUUACUGACAAUACUUUUAGAUCCAUCCACAUGCCGUAUGAGCGUCCUCCACGUUAGUAUACAACACAGUAAUACCGUCCUAACGAAAAACGAUCCGGUGGAGGAAAAAUCAGAGGUUCAAGAUGACACAGAAGGCGCCGCGAAAAUUUAUGCGAUUAGUUCGGUCGACGGCAAUGUGAUAUAUCACGUGAGCGAUAACGUGGACGAGGAUAAAAAGUGGAAGAAAGGCAAGAAAAAAAAACAGAUGAUAAAUCCCGUGAAAAUAAAACGGAUUUUUGCCGUAACGACGUUAGCGACUGGUGAUAAUUGCAAUCACUAUGUUACGGAAAGAAAUCAAUUUAUGAAAGAACUCGAAGUGCCGCCUAGCAUAUCUGGCAAUCGAAAGAUUUCCGUGUUUGUGAAUCCUCUCUCGAUCAAUUGUAAUGAAAACUCAAACGAUUCCUUGACAGAAGACGAUUCGCUGCCCAGUAUACGCAAAACAAACUUGACAACGGAAUUGCUUAAGAAUGCCACCCGCUUCAAAAAGAUUGAUUUUGAUAAAGGUUCCACUGCCAGUUUAGACGAAAGUCUUUUCGAAUCGGCAAACUCUAGUUUGAAGGUGAAGGAUAAGAGUAGCUUCAAAAAACUAAACGACGACGUCGACUCAUCUCUAGAUUCUAUAACAAAUAGCUUGGACUCGAGCAGUCCCGAAGUAACUAAUAAACAAUCCAAACAGAAAAAAGAACCUGUCGUGAUGCCGGGCAGUUCCAGGGAAAUAGCGGGCACUAUCAUAAAAGGCAGAUAUUACAGUACGAACGAAUUUAACACGAAUUAUGAUCAUGAAAUCGGUAGUUUCGAAGCGAGCGCGGAGGUGCCCAGUUGGACGAUGGACGACGACGACGGUGAUCUGGACGUCAGCACCACCGCGGAAGAAUAUUUUAGCAAUUCCAGCGCCAGUAUAGUCGAAGAGAUUUUAAAUGAAGUGCUCGAUCGCGCAAUGCAAUUAUGCGAUAUCGCCGAACCGCCGAAAAAUGAGGAAGUUCCGCAGCACCCCGCAAAAAUUAAUCGAAAUGUCGGUCUGGGUGUUCACAAUCUUCACUCCCACAUGUUGCUCUACUGCGGAGUAUAUGAUUCGGUCAGAACCCUUUACGUUUUGCGCACCCUCAGGAACGAACUUUUGACAAAUACGCGAAUGUUUCUGUGUUGCGCGGCGACGACCGGUGCGGCGAAUGCGACGAAGAAUACAGUGCUAUUAAAUCUAUUGGCGAGGCAUCGGAAAAGUGUUUUCGGCAGAAAUUUUCACGGUGAUAUAGCUAACACGGAAUUUAUAGCAGCUUAUAGGAGUAGUAUGUAUCUCGAGGUCCUGAUAAGCGUGUGUCUGUACUUUGCAAGAAGCUAUUAUCCAAAUCUCGGACAGAUGAGGCUUACAUAUGAAGAAAUUGCGGGUAACCGUCAGGUACAACUUGCAAGUGCAGAAUUAUUAACGCUAAUAUUUUCCGAGUUAAUUCCAAUUGUUCGCGAUUCUGGGAAAGGUUUCAGUUGCUACAUAGUCGACCUGCUGACUAAAUGUAAAGUACAAAAGGUUGCUCUACACUGUCUCGUAUCCAGUGUUAUGAGUAUGAAGAACGCUCAUAAGGAAAAUGAAGACGUUUUCACAUUUACCGAAGAAAUCGUAUUGUUUAACGAUCCGUUUAUCGAUAACGAUGUUAACAAAUGUAAAUAUAGAGCGAGCGAUCAUACGGAAGCUUUCCAGAUACAAUUAUUACGAUUACUGUUAGCGUUAAUUAUGUUGGAGCAUCAGUGUAGUAGUCAGAAGGGAGAGGAGAUUAAUCCAACGACAUCAUCUAUGCCAAGUUCACCGACACGGACUCUGCCGAGUUUAAUCGGAAACAGUUUGAAAUAUAUUUCUGGGGCAGCGAUACCGCAGCAACCAAUGUUUCUCGCUAGUAUCCUUAGUGCACUGCAACUCAAUCAUAUGAGGCAUCUUCAUCAACAUUGGACAACUCUUGUUACAUCCAGUCUUCCUUUUAUGGGAGCAUCUUUAACAUCUGUUGUAACAUCAGUUAUUCAUCAACUGUGCAGUAAUAUUGAACAUCUAGCGUCGUAUUAUAUCAACGAGGGGACAACAUCAAAGUUACAAGAUAUAAGCACGGUAGAAUGCUGUUUGCCUGCGGAUUACACAGUGACACAUCUUGAGGCUUUGACAUACUUGCUGCAUUAUUGUCUAUUAGAUACCUCUCAACAAAUUGGAUUCUCGUUUAAUCAGCCGCUAAGCGGUACAAUACAAACGGGAAUUCCUGGUGCUAAUCCCGGACAAAUUUUCAACAAUCUUAUACACGUUUUUAUGCCGAGUCCACUUUCUCCGGAUCUAUCCACAACAAAGGAUAAAACUGGCGCAACUGAACUGCAACAACAUGCUAGAAGAACAGCAUUAAGUCAUUUACCGAGAAUAAUAGCAUCUUUAUCUGCCUUGUGGCAAGCAGUUCUAGCAACAAAAGACAACGAACAAGCCAGUUGCGUGGUGGGCAGUCCGAGAAUAGUCAAAUAUCAGUUGUUGGAACUCUUAUCCCCAAUCUCUUUCCAUCAUGGAGCCAACUUUCUAGCUGCAGUCGCGGUUGCUUGGCACGAAAGACGUCAACCGUCCGCCGCGUCUAAGAAGAUACUUCCAGAAGCCUGUCCCAAUCAACAAGUAAUGGUUCAUUUGGUUAGCGCUAUUCGCGUUAUGCCGAUUGACACUUUGGUACACACUGUGCAUCAGGUAGUGAAAACACCACCGCCGAUACACGGGAUCAAACAGGAUUUCUCACUAGAAGUCUCAGUACUGGAAUUACUUUAUAUAUAUAUGCAGAGUAACACGUCGCAGUCGCUUAUCGAGUCUUGGGCGUCCUUGCUCAGUUUAUUGAAAGAUGGUUUAUCGCUAACAGCACCUGCUCAAUUUCUUUUGCUGGCUAUACUAAAUGAAUAUGUACAAAAGUGUCCGCCUAUGCAAGAAAAGAAAGAUAUCAAAGACUUGCAAGAUGUAUCAGCCAAGUUGAUAGAAUCGUGUUCGCAAAUAGCUGGCGCAUGUCUAGAACAAACAACAUGGCUAAGAAGAAAUUUGGCUGUUCGAGAAGAUGUGUUCGAAGUAGUGGAAGGCUCUUCGGAAGGUAAAGAGGGAAAAAAUGGUGCUGUAACACCUGGAACUCCACCUAAUGCGGCAUACAGUGUUCAAGCGCAGGCAGUAUUAGCGGAAAUACUUGCGCCAUUGUUGGAUGUCAGUUACGGUUCGCUAGAAAAAGAGCGCGUGGUAACGCUGCUAACAAAUCUCAUGUAUAAUGUCACACCUUAUCUGAAAAAUCAUACUAUAAAGAAUAUCGCCUCAUUCACUGCAUGUUCUCAAUUAUUGGCUUCUUUGUCGGGUUAUCAAUACACGAGAAAAGCAUGGCGCAAAGACGUUUUAGACCUGUUACUUGAUCCAGCCUUUUUCCAAAUGACACCGUCCUGUCUGCCAUACUGGAGAACUAUAAUAGACAAUCUGAUGACGCAUGAUAAUACUACCUUCAGAGAUUUAAUGAAUCGCGUGUCUAUGGCUCAAGGCAGCGGAAUCAGUAUAUUCUCUUCAAAGGAACAAGAGUAUGAGCAGAAAGCACAACUUUUAAAGCGAUUGGCAUUCGUUAUCCUUUGCAGCGAGAUGGAUCAGUAUCAUAAAUAUAUGCCAGAGAUACAAGAACGUUUAGCAGAUAGUCUACGCCUACCUCAAGUGAUCCCAUCUAUCCAGGCACAAGUAUUUUUAUGUUUUCGCGUAUUACUAUUAAGAAUGUCGCCACAACACGCGACAUCCUUGUGGCCAGUCAUAGUGAGCGAGCUUGUUCAAGUCUUUCUUUAUAUCGAGCAAGAAUUGAGUACGGACAGCGAAGAAUUCAGCAGUCGUCAUAGCAGUUCACAUAUUAAAUUGCUAUCGGCCUUGGACUCAUCGUGGGCUGUUAACGCUAGCAAUGGACUUCAGGCACACGGACAUCCUCACUGGUUGCAACUGCAACUAGCUGCCGCCAAGCUGUUAGACCUCGCGUUACUGUUGCCCGCACACAGAUUACCGCAAUUUCAAAUGUAUAAAUGGGCAUUCGUUGGAGACGCAGCGGCAGGAUGCACGGAUAACAACAAUCUAUCCUCGGACUUUGUACCGCAUAUUACAAGAAUAGCGAAAUUGAUGGAUAAUAAGUUUAAACCAGAAGGAUCACCGCCCAAAAGGAACCCAGGAGAACUUUUACUGACAUCAAAUAACGUUCGCUCUCUGCAAGACUUGCAUCACUUCUUCUCAAGUCUUAGUCGCGCCACAUGCGACACGUACGUGCCGAUAAAUAAUACACAGUUGGAGACUGUAAUCGAGCAAGACUUUCUUGAAAAAAUGCCGACCAUGCCAACGAGAUAGUAGGGAUGCGUAAAGGUACAUAAAUAAUUUGUCAAUCAGGAAGUGUAACAAAUAUAUUGUUAAAAAACUUUAUCCUUUGAUAUAUUUAUAUAAAAAAAAGAAAUAUAAAUAAGAUAUUUCGCAUUCGCGCCGCAUUUAAAAGUAUUCUGUCUAUACGUAAAUACUACAUUGUAUAAACACAAUUAGAAUGCAGAUAUCUAGAAAACACGCCGACUGCUCUUAGCUCUUGCUGUUAAAAUAUAGACGUCCGAUUAAAAUUUGCUUAAAAAAGAAAAGGAGAAAAAGGUUAACCAUAUUUUGGAAAAUGAAGGAAAGAAUUUAUAUAUAUGUCAAAAAUUGUUAAUUCCUUCAUGGACAAAUUGAUUGUAGAUAAAAUAAGAAAUAUCUUUUUUAGUUAGAAAGGGAGAGAGAGAGAAAAGGAACCAGGAAUGAAUCUGAAGCACGUAAUUAAUUUUUUGUUACUUGUUUUUAUCAGUUAAGCUUUUGACUCGUCUCCUCAUUCGGUUGUGAAUAGUUAUCAGCAUGUACAAUAUAGCACGCUGAAUUUGCACAUUGGCCUGUGCUAGUAUAAAAUUAUAUAGAGCGUGUACAGUGUAACAUAUUAUACUUACGGAAUAAGGUCUUCCCACUAUUUUUUGACAUAUACCUGUCAAAUCUUUUUCAAUGAUUUCCAUUUUUCUUUCCUUUUAACUUUGCACAUUACUAUAUUUGAAAGUGAUAAAAAAAUCUAUGUGUGUGUGCAUGUGCGCGUGGAUAUGUCUAGGUUUUUAGAGAGAAAUACACACACACAUAUGGAUGAUUCUCUACAGAUCCUUCAAUAGCAAUCGCUUUGUUAAAACACAAACAAUGAAAGAUGAAUUAUAGGAGAUAAAAAUUUAAGCAAUGUCCUAUUUGCAAUGUGAAGUUUACAGAUUGCGAUAUAGAUUCGCGGAUAUUAAAUAAAAGUAUUAAGUAAAAGUUUGUAAACCACAAGCUGUAGGCCUGCAUUAUCAGGAUCCACUCGCUUUAAUGCAUUUCAGACUAUCGAGGAUAAUUCAUCAUGAAAUUGUUUAUGAAUUUUCACUCCAUCUAAGUUAAUCUUUUAAUAUAAGGCUACCCCGCGUCAUAUAUCGUCAAAUACGCUUUGUUUUAAUGAACAGACUUUCUAGACAAACUGGUAAAUUAUAUACUGCAGUACUACUGCAUCAUCGUCUUAUAUAGCAUGCUUGAGAAAAAUAAGACACUAUAUUUUUAUGACAAACUAGUUUAAUAUACACUAAAAAGAUUUAAUACCAAGAAUAUCUACCCCAAUUUAUAUGAUGUAAGCUUCUUUGCACAGCUAGAAAAUAAUUGAAUUUGAAGUUAAUAUAUAAUAAAAAAUGUAUAGUGUUAAUUUCAACAAAAAUUUUAAAAUUAUACUAGACAUGUUUGCUAAAACAUAUAUUAUUAUUUUUCAUAACUGUAAAUGAUCUUAUAUGUUCUGCUAAUGAUAAUGUCUUUAUUAAAGUAAAUUUUGAAGCUAUAAAGUGAUUUUUCUAUCCUUAUUUAAUUAAUGAGAUCACAAAAAUACGUUUGCAUAUUGGUAGAUAUUCUUUGUCAAUAAAAUUCGUGAUUUAUGAAUCCCAUAUACAAUUGUGAUUUGUUAUAUAUCUAAUAUAGAACGUAACAAAUCACAAUGUGUGGGAAAACAAAAUUGAAAGCUCUUACAAUGGAUUUAUUUUUAUUUUUUUUAAUAUAAAAAUGCAAUAUCUAAAAAAAAUGUUAAAUUGUUUAAUUUUGUCAUUGUAUUUUAUGUUGUUAUUAAUCUGAAAUUAAAUUCAAAAUAAAUAAGUAAUUUCUAAAAGCAAAACAAUUCUUAUCUUUAGCAAUAUUAUUGAAGUUACUGCUUGGCACUAAUAAUAAUUAGUUGUAAAUGACAGAUUUAUUUUACUAGUUUGGCAGAGGCUUGUGCAAAGAUCUAUUGGACAUGAAAAAAUGUUUAUAUAAUCUAGUUAUAUAUUUGUAUACUACACUAUAUAUUUAUUUAAAAAAUCGAUGAUAUGAUUUUUUAAUAUGUUUACUUUAAGUUUUUCUAUAAGUUAAUAAUUUUUUAUGUAUCGUCUAUAGUUUGUGAGUUAGAAUGGUUUAUAAACAUUUGUUAUAGCUAAGAGACAGAGAAAUUAAAGUUUCGUCACAUAUGAAAGCAUUAGACAAAUAUGUAUACUUAUAUGUUGAAAAAUCAUGUAAUUUUAUGUAAUAAAUCUAUAUUCUACAAAUAAAUAAAUUACUGUAAAAUAUA